GCGACCCCUCGGCCCAGCUUGAGGCCCGGCCUAGGACCGGAGGCGCGACCCCUCGGCCCACCUUGAGGCCCGGCCUAGGACUGGAGGCGCGACCCCUCGGCCCACCUUGAGGCCCGGCCUAGGACCGGAGGCGCGACCCCUGGGCCCACCUUGAGGCCCGGCCUAGGACUGGAGGCGCGACCCCUCGGCCCACCUUGAGGCCCGGCCUAGGACCGGAGGCGCGACCCCUGGGCCCACCUGGCGGCCCGGCCGGCACAGCCCGCCUCUCCUCUCCAGGCCAGGGCCCCACACCUUCCGCCUGACAGCCAGCCAAGCUCUUCAGUCCCCCGCCCUCCACCUGCCAGGGAGGCUCCGGGCGUUGUACCUGCCACCACGGGACACAUAUACUCACAGAAAUGAGUUAUUUAAAGAAGACGGUCCAGAUUCCACAGUCCAAAAAAAAAAGAGGUUUGCCCUGCUUCUGAAGGAGUCAGGGUAUGAAUGCAGAGGUCUUCCUGUUGGCUCACAUAUCAGAUCUUCAACGUCAACAUUAAAUGCGAGUGAUGCUUCCCCCUCUGUGAAUGUGGCUUUGGGUAUGGCUAAUCCACACCCUGCACUCUGGCCUUCAGAAGCCCAGGGAGAGAAGCCUCCCAGAAGCAACCUUCCAGAACCUUCUCCAUCCUCCCACCGACCUCCCCAGCCCCUGUCCUCUCUUUGAAUCUCGUUGUCAAGUUCUUCCCGCAGACACCUGGCUCCUUGAGGGGAGGUGCAGCUUUCAUCUGACCAUGCAGGCGUGCUUUGCAGUGGGUAGAGCAGUGCUUUCCUCCUCCCAGCUGCACACUGGAAUCACCUGGAGAGUCCAGAAACUUCCCGCCUCAGUGAAAGAACAUCAGUGUAUCAGCACAGCAAAUAUUCCAAAUGCCAGGCUGGAUUCCCUCCAAUUACCAGGACCUCCAGGCUUCUCCUCCUUUCAAGAACUUUCUGACCCUGGAUCCAGUCUAAAUGUUGGUUAUAAACUCACCUGACAUCCACAGGGCCCUUCCAAAAUACUGUCAAGGCUGACUGCUGGUGCCUGGAACCUGCACACCCUCCUGGGACUCUGCAUCUCUGCUGGGGCUGGUUUCUCCUCUGAGCCACCUUAAGGAAUCCCACCCUGACCCGGUCAGAGCUCACCAUGCCUCCCUCUCCUACUUGCUCAGCAUUUUGUGUCUAUCUAGACUGAAGCCUUUGCUUUCUCUCUGUGAUUAUGGUGAAAGUUCAGUUUGCUUUCCUAUCUCUAGAAUGUCAGCACGAAGGCAGAGGCAUGGUCUCCUGAGUUCCAUAACCCCAAAGCCUAACUCCCUGCCUGCCACACUGAGGGGCUUAGUAGACAUUGACUUACUAAAUUGAAUAGUUGAGUAAUAAUGCUCUUUGAAAUAAUUUGGAGUUAGAUCUUGAGCCUUGUGUGGCCAGAGGAUGGGUGAGGACACAUCAUAAAAACUAAAGGUAACUGAGCAUGCCAGUGGUUGGGGUGAGAAAUUUGCAUGGAGCACUCCAGACACAGAGGCAGCAAAACCCAAGUGCUGGGAAGUCAGAGUGAGAGAGUGAAGGGGCAGUGAGUGCUUCUUUAGGAGCUGGAUCAAAACCUAAGAUGAUCUGGCCACAUGGUGCAGACUGAGCACACACUUGGGAGAGAAAUGGGCCAGGAGGAGAGGAGAGAGGUUCACCACAGGACAGUGGAUGACUGGGAAUAGAAGCCCUCCCCAUGGUGGACCAAGAAGUCUGUGAAGCUGAGAGAAAGACAAAAGAAAUCACGACUUCUGUAGGUAGCUGGGAUGGAAACCUCAGGGGUGACAGGGUCUUUAAAGGAAAUCUCAAGGAAGGCAUCAUGUUCUGGGUGUGCUCCAGGGAUGCUGAGUAAGAAAAGACCAGCCUUUCUGUGUGUGUCUUUACUCUGCCACAAGGCACCUGGGCUCCUAAAUGACCAAUACACAUGUGCUAUACUGGUGCCAAGAAAGAAGGGUGUUUUGUAGGAAAGUCAAGGUGAGAGGAGGUGCCCAGGACUUGGCUCCUUUCUUUGAAGGGUGACGGUGUAAAUUCUCCAUGCUGGGGAUCCUACUGAUGGAUGGAGGCAUGUCGAUCUCAUCAUUUCACAGAGUGGGGAGCUAUGGCCACAACGUGCCUAUCACACAAGUCCAGCCUCACGUCAGCUGGACACCAGCUGUUCUGACACUUGUCAGCACAUGGGGCACCCGGAAGUUCAUGGUGUUCUGCAAAGAACGCCACAAAACAGUGAGCUCAACUUCUUGAAAGUCAUAAUGUGUUGCUAAGUCCGAUCCCAGAUCCUAAAAAUAAUAUGAGGUAGUGGCCAUUGAACAGAAAAAAUUUACAUCUUAAACUUGAAGAUAAGUACAAGUGUACCUUUUUCUACCACUGUUGUUCAGUUUUAUUAUAUUGACAAGCACCUCUGCCCACCCUGUGGGGUAAAACUGUUUGAAAGUGUUUAUGAAAGUUUUAUAUAAAUAUUGGUUGAUCAAAUGUACAAAAUAUGCAUGAUGGCACCAUAUUGUGUAUAAUAGUGACAAAUACAGUCUAUGUGGGUGGAGAAACAAGCUCGGUGUUGUGCAUGCGGCUGUGGUUUGUGUUCACACUUCUCCUUUAGAGUGUAGUAGACAGAACAUGCCUGAACUGCCUGGGGCUGAGGGGUCUCAGGCGCAGAGUGGCCCAGGAAUUCUGAGCAAGGACAGAAUGUUAGAGAGAAUAUCCUGAGCUGAGCAGAGAGGCCUGCCCAUGCUAGCUGGCAGCCACCUGCCUUCAGUGCUUCAUUCUUGGGGGACCUUGAGGCCAGUUCUUGAGUGGAUGAGUCCUGCCGCUACUGCUGCUGCCCACUUGGUAGCUCUGUCCUCAUCUGGGAAGAGCCACUGUGAACCCCAGAGACCUAGUGGUGCUAGGGGCUGAUGCAGGCAAAUGACUGGCUGCCCCUGGAUCUUAUGUGAAAACAAGAAUGCUGGACCAAAAGGUCUCUACAGGGCUCCAUGACUACCCAUGACCCGUAACUUCAGUGAGGAGCUAGUGGCCAGGAGGGGCUCAUGGUUGGACACUGGUAUUCCUCUACUCAGACCUUAAACCACAGGUUGCAAGAACAGGGAGGUCACAUGUCAGUGACCUCAUGCCUAAAUAGAUGCAUAGCACAGAGCAGAUUCCUGGAUAGCUUACACCCUACUUUCCCCAGUGCAUCGAUUAUGACUUCCUUUCUAGCAACUGUGAGUACAGCCGGGACUCAUCAAUCACACCUGUAACUUCCCAGCUGCAUUUCUCAGGGUCUCUGAAAGCAGGGCCUUCUCUGGUCUUUUUAAAUUACCCACAGACCUAGGACAGUCUUCUGCACAUACUUCUACAUUUUAAAGGCUUACUUUUAGUAUGUUUAUGUGUGUGAGAUGGGGAAUAUUGUAUUCAUGUGUGCAUGUAUAUGUCUGUGAGUACUGUGGUCUGUGUGUGUAACUGGGUAUGACUGUGUGUGUCAUAUGGAUACAGGGGACUAGAAUGAGGACAGCCAGGUGUCCAGGCUAUAAGAUCUAAGGAGGCACUUGCUCUCAGGGCCAACCCUGCCCUUGCGUGAGCCUGAGAGAGAGAGCCUCCUGGAAUUUUGCACCUUGAGUGCCUUCCUGCUUCACCCUAAUCCCCCCGGUUGUCUGUAUGUUUGGAUGUGAGUGUUGUACAUAUGCUGUGUAUGUGUGUGCAUGCAUGUGAGUGUGCAUGGGUGUGUGUCUGUAUGUCUCAGCAGCUGUCACUGGGCUUCCCAGUCCCUGUCAGCAGGCGAAGGAGGCCCCUUCAUUUCCUUGGGUCCUGCUUAUGCAGCACAGGCCACAGCAAAGGCUCCCUGGGUUGGGUCAGCCCUCACUCUAACUCAACAUGCCCUGGAAGUCACCACAGGGUCAUGGAAAGAGUCCUGGUGAUGAGAUGGAGUGUCUGCUCUGCCACAAGGGCUGUGGGACCAGGGUCGGGGCAUACCUCUCUGGGUCUCAGUUUCCUCACUGGUAAGAUGUGGCAACAGAAUCUCAUCUGUGAGCCCCCUCUAGCCUUGAACAACUCUGGAUCCAGGUAGACCAGCAUAAUGAAAGCCUAUGAAGCUUCUGAGAUGUGCGAGGCAUACAUUGUCCCAGGUACUCAAGUAACUCAAGUCUGGAAGCUGCGAGCCACAGAGAUCAAGCCUUCUCCAAAAAUUGGACUGCAAGGCAUGCCGUACAAACAGAGUGCUAGGAGACCUUGGGGAGGUGGGGAAGAGGAAGAGGAAUCAUGGACAGCUUCAUGGGGAGGUGGCUUUGGAGCUGGGAUGGGUGAGGACAGCUGGAAUGUGGGCAGCACGUGACCAAGUGCUUUGCAGACAUGGCAUGGCCCCCAGCCAGGCCCUGAGGAAAGGAGAGUCUCAGGACAGCAGCUAUGUCACUGUAAGCAGGACCCUUGAAAGCAGGUGCCACCUGCAAAAGGGGGAGCCCUGAGGCCCAGGCAGGCCUGUCACAGUGUGGGGCACCUGUCUAGACAGCCCCAUGGCCAGCAGUGGGGGUGGGCCAUGGGCCAUGGGGACCUUCCUGGUAUGGGGUACUGCCAUGUCCCCAGGGAAUAUGGGGGGCCCAGGAAGGUCCCCAAGGCUCGAAGGACCCAGGUCUUUUCAUACUGCCAAAGAGAUGUAAGGCCUACAGAGGGGAAAGUUUGCAUAUCUGUGAAGGCAUGGAGCCUAGGCAUUGGAAGUGUCCAGUAAGCAUUUUCAUUUGGCAGAAGUAUCUCCAUGGCACUUCUACCUACAGCCCUGCCACAUUUUGCCACAAACUGUCCAGCAGCCCUGAGAUGGAGCCCCAGUGUAGACCGUCAUGGAGCACACUGGCUCUGGAACAAUGAGGAGCAGACUGGAGAAAGCCAGAUGGGGUUUACCUGUCAACAGCCACAACAUAGUUGUGCUGGGGUGACUGUUCAAGAAAAAUGAACUUUGGUGCUCCUGCCGAAUGGGUUGUUAGUGUUCAGUCCUUUUCCUACCACUGAGUUGUUUUGUCUGAUCAUUCUUCCUCCUGGUUCUGCGGGUCUGCCUUCUUGAAAGGGAAGAGCAAGACUCCAGCUCCCUGCCCUGUAGAGGUGCCUUCUACCUUGCUCAGUGUUGAAGCAAAGGAGCAAAGCAAAGCUUAAGUCAGAGAUUUGGUGCUCAGCUAAUCACAGAGACUUUUAAAUGUCAACCAGGGUUUGCUAUCAGGCCAAAGCUGGAUUAUUAUUACCCAAAGUAGAAAAUUGUGAGACAGAGGCAGGUGGGGAGGGAGGGAGAGAGAAGAAAGCAGAAGGUGGAGGAUACGUGGAUUUAAUUUUUUAAAAAUAAAUAUAUGAUUCCGUGUCAAUUAAAAACAAGUACCCCAGGCAAGUCUUCCUGCAGUCCUGUCUUAGCCGCACACACAGCAUAACUGCAAACCCACUUGAGCUCAUUUUUGCUCAAAGACCAACUCUAUUAAACCCUUAGAAUGUUCUGGAUUUCAACACACAGUCCACAGACAGCCAUUCUAUCAAAAGCUUAGUGUUUUCCCUAUGACUGGGUUUUCUGGUAAGGUGAACUAAGGCAUCCUUUUCCAUUUCAGGCUGUGGUAACAGCAGAUAACAGCCGCAGAGGUCAUAGCCAGCACUUUCUAUGCGUCCCUUCAUUUAAUCCCAGUACUCCUAGGUGGUAGAUCUAUUAUUUUGUCCACAUGAAUUAUUGAAAAGUCUGUCCUAAAUUUUAAAUGGAACGAAGUACUGGGUUGCAAGUUACUGGUGGCUGUUUCACAGGAAAUACUACGACAAUGGGACUUUGGGAAUGUGUUCUGGAGACUCCACUCCUUGGUGACUACUACAUGGAGCACAGAAAAUUGUCUUGAGUGGCAGCUAUGUGCCAGGUGAGGAGACAGGUUUUACUCACAUGACUCCCCAGAAGCCCUGCAGCAUCCCCAUAUUUUAUAAAGGGGAAGUACAAGCCCAGAGAGACAUCUGACUUGACUAAGUUCACACAAAAACAGCAAGGUCUGGGCCAAGAUGGAAGCCCGGGCUUUGCCUUCUUCUUCUGCCUGCAGGGCAGGGGCUUUCAUCCUGGCUUCACGCUGAUUUCAAAAGCCUCUCAUUCUCUUGACACCUCAUGGCCCCUGAGUUUAUCCCAAGAAUAAUAAGUUCUACUGUCCUCCUGGAGAUGCCGAAGAAUCAAAACUGCAACACACAGAGGGCCUGGGUGUGCGCGAACACUGUAGUACACACCGAUGACAGCAGAUUAAGCCAUUUCUCUCUUAGGUGCGUCACCCAACCAGCUCCUGGACCCUUCUGCUGUGCUGCCCUGACAGUCACAAUAUGUCCUAGUGGACUAAUUAGCACUAACUACCCAUGUCACCCCAAGGCCAUUUAAGAAGACAAAUAAAAAAGACAAAACCAAUGAGUAUUGUGGCUGAAGAUGACGAAAAAAAGUUAAAAGCAGGGAGGAAUGAAUUAUUUUUUCUUUCUCAAUCUCUCCCUCUGCUUAAACCAAAGAGAGGUUUUCAUCUGAGAGCCCGGGAGCUAAGCAGCUACUUUCUACAUGAAAAAGUGAAAACAUUAAAAUAAAAUCCCUUUCUUUCAAGCUAACGUUCUAAAACUGAACCUCUGCAGAGGCUCCAAAAGAGAAAUGCCUUGCUUUUAAGCCCCUGAGUGAGAGGGAUCCUGAGGAAGUGGCAGAGGGGAUGAACCUAAGCUUUGGGACAUAACAACCGGCACCUCCAGUGGCCACCACUCCUAGCUAUGCUGCCUGUGGAUGGGGCCCCCAGUGCUGGCCCCUAACAGCAUGGGGAAGCCUCCCCAGCCACUCUGAAGCUGUUCGCAUCACAUCCAAGAUGAACCUAGGCAGGGAGGCUGAGUGUGCUUGGGAGAUGCCAAGUUAGGGAAGUAAGUUCCCCAGGGUCCUUCAACUUGUGGUGCCUGAGGAUAGCUGCUUUUUUUCCAGUGCAGAUGGAGACACGGCAGCCUUGGGGGGAUGUGUGAAAGUAAGGCCUCCCUCCCUCUGCCUUUCCAAGUGGCUGAUCAUCUCCUUCCUUCUCAUAGCUACUUCUAGGAGAGGCAUCCAGGCAGGAACCACUUCUCCAUUUCACAGAUGGGAAGACUGAGAACCAUACUGGAAAGGGGUGUAUUUUAAUUAAACUGGAGAGUGGGGAACACUGAUGAGGAAAGCAAGCUGAUAGACGGAAGGCUCUGCCUGUCACUGCCAGCACGGGCACUUGGGCCUUCUUAUCAAGGGUUCUGAUGGGAGUUUCCACUAGGAUUCCAGGUGUCGAUCAUCUAGUAGCCGAGUUCUGAUGAGCUGGACUUUGGGUGGUUGAGGUAGGGAGCAGUGGAAAGGGGAAUUGGAGUCUUAUCAACCUCUUUGAACACCAGUUCCUUCCCCUCUCUUCUAUAAAAAUGUCGUAGCAAUACCUGCCUGGCAGAGUUGUGAGAAUUAAAUGAGAUGAUGAAUACAUCUGCUCUCAGCACCACACCACACCUGUGGCAGUCCUCAGAGAGAAGAAUCACAGCUUUCAUUCAUUGAGAGCUCACUAAGUGCCAGGUAUGCUCAGCUCUUGUGCAGACGUUCUUUUUCUUUGGAUGUAAAUGUGACAUGGGCAGAGCAGGAGGAGCUGUGAGGCUGGCUUGGCUGAGCCACAGGGAUUGCUGGCAUCUUAUAUGGCAUUCAGGACUAUGGAGGGUCCACGGGAAGAAACACAGAAACAGAACCCAAGUAUCCUUCGGGGACUCUUGGACUUUCUUCCCCUUGAUCUUAGACAUGCCUCAGUAAACAGAUGCUGGUUUCUAUCGAGACUCAUUCCUGGGGAAGGACCCCCACCAGCCAAGCAAGGUAAAGCCCAGACUCAGUUACAUGAAUUACAGGUUUAAGACAGAAGCCUUCCUAUGAAUAUUUUUCUGGCCAGUGGCUUAUAUAAGAGAAAUUUGCUCAUUGUAUUUCUAUCUGGCCAACGAAGGGGUCUAGAGGGGCUUUCAGCAACCCAAACAGUCUUGUCAGCCCUAACUCUGGACCUAAGGAAAUAAUUAUGAAUCCUCAAGAUCCAUUUAAAAGUGUCAUUACUGUAGAUAAACAAAGACGAGUGGAUGCUUCUUCCUACUCCACCUCACUGCAGAGAUUCCAUCCAUCCCAGGGUCACUGACCACUGACUGGAUGAACUAGGAUUGGUGUGGCAGAGUGGAGUUUUCAGGAGCCAAGAGACUCCUGGAUUGUCAUGCUCUGUACUCCUUCCCCACGAAAGGAAUGUCUAGAACUCCUGCUGAAAGUAGUCAUUGCCUGCAUUUCCUAGGCAGAAUGUGUUAGCUCCCUCCCCAGAAGAACCUGGGCGAAGAAGGUGUUCCAAUCUGCAUUUGGAAAGAAUCCCUCCCGCAAAGAACUCUACACCCUCUAAGAGAAGAUAACGUGAGGGCAUAUUCUCCUCUCUUAGAGGGUGUUUUCAAUACUAAAUUCUAUCUCUGAAGAGAAUGAGGACCCGAAGGGGGGCAGUGCACCA
ensembl:lncRNA PAX8-AS1 PAX8 antisense RNA 1